GAGAAUAGAAAAGGAAAAAUCGAAGGAAUAAAGGUUUUAGAAGAAGAAAAGCAGGGAGAUUUCAGAAAUCAGAAUUUCAUUCAUUCAUCAGCUGAAUAUUUUCCUCCUUUGGGUUGAUAACUGGAUCCACGUCUGAGCCCAUCUCCUCUGCCCAACUCUUCUUCUGCUGCCACUCCAGAUCCUUGUCCCCAAGGAUCGAAUUCAAGAAACUGGGCACGCAAGACUGUAUAAUCUUCCCAGGAAAUACUUUAAGUUGUCCAUCAUCUAUUACCUGAGGAGGGUCCGAUGAAG